UACGUAGGGUGCAAGCGUUGUCCGGAAUUAUUGGGCGUAAAGAGCUCGUAGGCGGUCUGUCACGUCGGAUGUGAAAAUCCAGGGCUUAACCCUGGACCUGCAUUCGAUACGGGCAGACUAGAGUUCGGUAGGGGAGACUGGAAUUCCUGGUGUAGCGGUGAAAUGCGCAGAUAUCGGGAAGAACACCCGUGGCGAAGGCGGCUCUCUGGAACGCAACUGACGCUGAGACGCGAAAGCGUGGGGAGCAAACAGG
rnacentral:rRNA from 1 species